rnacentral:lncRNA from 1 species
UUUUUGGGAAUUUGAUUUUGAUUUUAGGGAUCAUUUCAUUUUUCUAUCAUUUAAUUCUAGGAGUUGCGUUGUUUUAAAGGUUCAAAUUGAUUUUUAAUACAAAACCAUUUUUUUUUUGAAGUUAGAAAUGAUUUUUGAGAUUUCCGAUUAACUUUAGAAGUCAUUGUGUUAUUUUGAAAAUCAAGUUCAGUUUUAAUUUAUUAUUAGAAUUUCCAUCUUUUUUUAUUUUUCUUUCUUUUUUGUGAGGCCAUGUUAUUGAAUCACAUAGAGCCCAUUCACCUUUUCUUUUUUAAGCCCAUUUUAAUUCAUUCUUUCAAGUAACCAGAUCCAAUUCCCAAAUCCAAAUCCAUUUAUCAUUACCUCAAAAUCAGUUUAUCCACAUCCAUUUUUAAAAUCAAUUCCAUAAACCAUUUUAUCCACAUUACAUCCAAAUAUCCAUUACUUAGAUCCAAUGAUAUUCCAAAUAAGACAAAAAAUACAUGGCAAGAAUGAGUACACGUAUGCAUCAUGGAAAUUGAAAGUACCAGCGUCAAAACGCAAGUUGAAGCCAAGCAAAAUGC